AUUGAACGCUGGCGGCAGGCCUAACACAUGCAAGUCGAACGGUAACAGGAAGCAGCUUGCUGCUUCGCUGACGAGUGGCGGACGGGUGAGUAAUGUCUGGGAAGCUGCCUGAUGGAGGGGGAUAACUACUGGAAACGGUAGCUAAUACCGCAUAAUGUCGCAAGACCAAAGAGGGGGACCUUCGGGCCUCUUGCCAUCGGAUGUGCCCAGAUGGGAUUAGCUUGUUGGUGGGGUAACGGCUCACCAAGGCGACGAUCCCUAGCUGGUCUGAGAGGAUGACCAGCCACACUGGAACUGAGACACGGUCCAGACUCCUACGGGAGGCAGCAGUGGGGAAUAUUGCACAAUGGGCGCAAGCCUGAUGCAGCCACGCCGCGUGUAUGAAGAAGGCCUUCGGGUUGUAAAGUACUUUCAGCGGGGAGGAAGGGAGUAAAGUUAAUACCUUUGCUCAUUGACGUUACCCGCAGAAGAAGCACCGGCUAACUCCGUG
rnacentral:rRNA from 1 species